rnacentral:lncRNA from 1 species
UCAAAGCUAGUAUCCAUAAUAGAUAUUUUGGACAAAAAAAAGAAAUUUCAUUUUUCGGUGAAUAGUGCCGUAUUCGUGAAUAGUGCCGUAUACGUGAAUAGUAACUCCGACACCAAAAGAUAGAAAUUUCACAAAAAACAUCUUCACGCUUCGUGAAUAGUACUCGUGAAUAGUAACUCGUGAAUAGUAACUCAUGAAUAGUAACUCAUGAAUAGUAAC